GAAGUAGAGUUCCUUUGAUGAAAUGCUACUGCUAAUGUCUUUUCAGGGACACCCAGUCUUUGCUGUCAAUUUGCUUUCCCCCCAUGUCUUAGUUUAUUUCUCUUUUCCUUCGCCCUGCUAUCACAUGACAUUUCCUCUUCUCUAAUGACUUGGCAGGAAGCUUUUGCAAUCCUUUCAGUUCUGCAAUUCUGAUCAAUAGAACUGUGUGUGCGGGGAGGCUGCAGCCACAGGCUGGGACGGACAGGACCUGGAAGCAGACCCAGCAAGCAGAAUACACCACUGCUCUUCAAAGUUUGGCAUUGGAGAGAUCACGCUGCAUCCAUUCGACUCUGGGUGGGGAGGACCAGGCUCAGAGGUUAACCAGCACUGAACAGCAUCACCUCAAUCCAGAGCCCUCUGCAUAUGCCAGGGCAGGAACACUGUGCUAGCUGUCAAGGCUGAUGGACUCCUCCAGUAGCAACAGGUGAGUUUGGAGCAAACCUCUAGCUCUCUUUUAGCAACACCCCUCUCUGUGCUGCCAGGUGCUGCUGGGGGUGUUGCAGCCAUGGCAGUAUCUUCCCACUGCUCUCUUAUGGCAGUCAAUAUAAGCGCUGUUUCAGUGCUGCUGCUGAGUGAGCAG
rnacentral:lncRNA from 1 species